GACGAACGCUGGCGGCGUGCUUAACACAUGCAAGUCGAACGGAAAGGCCCUGCUUUUGUGGGGUGCUCGAGUGGCGAACGGGUGAGUAACACGUGAGUAACCUGCCCUUGACUUUGGGAUAACUUUAGGAAACUGGGGCUAAUACCGGAUAGGAGCUCCUGCUGCAUGGUGGGGGUUGGAAAGUUUCGGCGGUUGGGGAUGGACUCGCGGCUUCUCAGCUUGUUGGUGGGGUAGUGGCUUACCAAGGUUUUGACGGGUAGCCGGCCUGAGAGGGUGACCGGCAACAUGGGGACUGAGAGAGGGCCCAGACUCCAACGGGAGGCAGCGGGGGGGAGUAUUGAACAAUGGGGGGAAGCGUGAGGCGGGAACGCGGGGUGCGGAAUAACGGCCUUCGGGUUGAAAACCGCUUUCGCAGGUAACAAGGCGUGAGUGACGGUAAAGGGUAAAGAAGCACCGGCUAACUACGUG
rnacentral:rRNA from 1 species